GCCUAAAGCGUCCGUAGCCGGCUCUGUUAGUUUUCGGUUAAAUCCAUAUGCUCAACAUAUGGGCCGCCGGGAAUACUACAAAGCUAGGGAGUGGGAGAGGUAGACGGUACUCCGUAGGAAGGGGUAAAAUCCUUUGAUCUAUGGAUGACCACCAGUGGCGAAGGCGGUCUACCAGAACACGUUCGACGGUGAGGGAUGAAAGCUGGGGGAGCAAACCGGAUUAGAUACCCGGGUAGUCCCAGCUGUAAACUAUGCAAACUCAGUGAUGCAUUGGCUUGUGGCCAGUGCAGUGCCGCAGAGAAGUCGUUAAGUUUGCCGCCUGGGAAGUACGUACGCAAGUAUGAAACUUAAAGGAAUUGGCGGGGGAGCACCACAAGGGGUGAAGCUUGCGGUUCAAUUGGAGUCAACGCCAGAAAUCUUACCCGGAGAGACAGCAGGAUGAAGGUCAAGCUGAAGACUUUACCAGACAAGCUGAGAAGUGGUGCAUGGCCGUCGCCAGCUCGUGCCGUGAGGUGUCCUGUUAAGUCAGGUAACGAGCGAGAUCCUUGCUUCUAGUUGCCACCAUUACUCUCAGGAGUAGUGGGGCGAAUUAGCGGGACUGCCGCAGUUAAUGCGGAGGAAGGAGAGGGCCACGGCAGGUCAGUAUGCCCCGAA
rnacentral:rRNA from 1 species